CUUUGUGGCAUGGUUUUUUAAGGUUAUGAUUUUGCGUACCAAAUCAAUUUUAUUUUUAUUGUUUUGACGAGAAUCUUAUUUUGUGUUAUUUUUAAUAAGUUUGUUACAGCUUUCUAGACAUCAUAGCCAACAUUAUAGAUGGCGAUCUUUAUAAAAAAGCUUAGUUUCGGUAAGCGGUUAUGUAAAACAUGCGGCUUGACUGUUUUGCCGUUCUUUGAAAAGUGAGCAUACUUAUUUACUUGAGUUUGCUUUCAACUUAGUGCUGAGAUGGAAAUGGAGGAUGUGUUCACCAUCAUCCUGUCUCUGACCUGUGAUGAGCAGUGGGCCUACAGCCUACAGUAGUUGAGCUGCCACAACCAAAUAGAUUACGCACGCUAAUAUGCAUUGAAUAUUAUGCAACAAGACGGAUCUAGUCGCUAGUGUGUGGCAAUGGUAAUCUUGUGACUAGUGUGAGUGUGAGUGUAAGCAUAUGUGUGGCACGUACAAGAAUUGCUGUCCUUACAUUAUUGAACUGGUAUGAAAUGUGGUUCCUCUUCUGAACACUGUUUUCAAGCCGGAUAAUACGCAAAGUACGCAAAGGCAUAGAGUUGAAUAUGCAUCACGAAAAUCAUCAUUGAUUCAUAUAUGGAAUUUCUGAAUGAGUCGCCUACUUGAUUUGAAUAUAAUAAGGAACUGCUUGAUUAGAUUGAAGUAGAAAGCGUAUCAACUCGUCGUAAUAUGUUCUUCAGAAGAACAACAGUUCAAACAGAUGGUAAACAAAUUAUGCUUUUCAAAGCUAGUGUACGUCCUUGGAAGACUUGAUAGACCUACUACUGCUUUCGGUUUGGAAUGCGGUACCCCCAUCAAAAGCAUUGACAGACAUUGUCAAGAGUAUCGGAUGGAAAUUUGAACUACAUUCAAAUAGAGCUGAUCAACUAGCUGGAAGGAGAUGUCAUGGUUGUUCUACUCCAUCAAGAAAAUUUUAUAAUAAAUAAGGUUUGUUUGCAAAUAAAACUUUGACAAUGUAUUCUAGAGCACCCAAACCCAAAUUUUACUGAUAUUUAUUUUGUUUCGUGUGUAGGUGAAGUGAAAAACUUAUUCUUUC